GGCCGGGCCAGCCACCUGGGGACGGACGACAGUACUAUAGCCAAUAAUAGAACUGCACUAUGAGACGGUGACUCAUCAUCCUAAUAAUGUUCGCGCUGCACCUACACUAGCUUCGUGGAGGGAAGGACAAUAGCAAGCGUAGACAGAAUCAUUAUUUUGCGAAUCACAGUAUGUUUCUGUCUUAAUUUUUUUUCUUAAAUUCUGAAAGUGAUUCAGAUAGUCUGAGUUUGGAUAAUUGGAGUUGUACUGUAGUUAGAAGAACAGGGAGAAAAUUGAUGACGCUGUGAGCAUCUACACUCUUUAAUAAGCUCCGUAAUGAAAAAGACACCCACGAACACCUUGAAAGAUCAGGUGUCUACAGGUGUUGUACUAUCAGGUGUUGUCUACAGGAUUCCUGUUACAUACAAGACACAGCAGGAAACAGCAUAUAUAGGCAUGACUACUAGAACUCUUUCCCAGAGAUUAAACAAACAUAAAAAAGACAUUGCAGCAGGAAAGCUAAACGCAGCUCUGCCAGUAGAGCC
rnacentral:lncRNA from 1 species